GGAUGUGAGGGUGAUCUGACUGUGAUAUCUGUCACCCCAUUGAUCUCCAGGGUUGAUUUGGCUGAUCUGGCUGGCUAGGCGGGUGUCCCUUUCCUCCCUCCCCACUCCACGUGCAUCCCUCCAGAAGCUGCGCUCUGGGUGGAAGAAGAUGACCAUCCCCGUUAGGGGAGGACCGUUCUUCUCCGUCAAGGGUAUGCGAGAAGCUGUGCUCCCCUGCUAGAACCUCAAAACAAGCUCUCAGGGUCCAUUUGUAGGAGAACAUAGGGUAGUCAAGCUUCCAAGACUCCGGACACAUCCAAAUGAGGCACUGCAUGUGGCAGGUUGCCUUUCUUU
ensembl:misc_RNA 7SK 7SK RNA